rnacentral:rRNA from 1 species
AUGUGCCUUUACACCAAGCUGAAGUUUUCAGUGUUCAGCUGCCUUCCAAAGAUAUUGGCUAGAAAGACUGCAAAGAUUGGUCUCGAUCUGAUUCACUUGUUCAAGAAGGCAUCACAUGUGCUUAUGGGCUGCCUUUGCUCCAAAGGCACCAAAGAUCAUGCUGAUGCCACUUCCGAAAACAGAGAACCAUCAAGUAAGGAUGACCCUAAGACUGCAUCAGGUACGAAUGAUGGCAGCAAAGUCAUGCCAUAUGCUGGAGAGAAGGUGGUGGUAGCUUUUGAUGCUAGGUUCAGCAGUUGUAACAAUGCAGAGUUGAAAGGGCUCUCAGGUGAGCAUGUUGUUUCUGGGUGGCCAACUUGGCUUGCAUAUGUGGCGCCUAAAGCAGUAGAUGGCUGGUUGCCUCGACGAGCCGAUUCAUUCGAGAAAUUAGACAAGAUUGGACAAGGAACUUACAGUAUUGUGUAUAAAGCCCGAGAUCUUGAAACAGGGAAGAUUGUUGCACUAAAGAAGGUGCGGUUCGUCAACAUGGAUCCUGAAAGUGUUCGCUUUAUGGCUAGAGAAAUCCAUAUUCUUCGGAGACUGGAUCAUCCAAAUAUCAUAAAGCUUGAAGGAAUUGUAACAUCUCGUGUGUCGCAGAGCCUGUAUCUGGUUUUCGAAUACAUGGAGCAUGACCUUUCCGGUCUUAUUGCAAGUCCAGGCCUCAAACUCACCGAGUCACAGAUAAAGUGCUUCGUUCAGCAGCUGCUUCAUGGCCUUGAUCAUUGUCACAAAAAUGGAGUUCUGCAUCGAGACAUCAAAGGAUCGAACCUCUUGAUUGACAGCAAUGGGGUACUGAAGAUUGCAGACUUUGGCCUGGCAACAUCUUUCGACCCUGACAAUCCAAAACCACUAACUAGCCGUGUUGUGACAUUGUGGUACAGACCACCAGAGCUUUUACUUGGUUCCACAGAGUAUAGUGUCGCUGUGGAUAUGUGGAGUACAGGGUGUAUUGUGGCAGAACUCUUUGCUGGCAAACCAAUCAUGCCAGGAAGAACCGAGGUGGAGCAAAUUCACAAGAUCUUUAAGCUCUGUGGGUCGCCGAUGGAUGAUUAUUGCAAGAAAUCAAAGGUGCCAGAAACAGCGAUGUUCAAGCCUCAGCAGCAAUAUAGGCGGUGUGUUGCUGAGACUUUCAAAGAUUUUCCUCCUUCCACUGUAGUUCUCAUAGACUCCUUGCUUUCGUUAGAACCAGAAGUUCGUGGAACAGCUUCCUCAGCUCUUCAGAGUGAUUUUUUUAAAACAGAGCCACUUGCUUGUGACCCUUCAAGUCUACCGAAAUUUCCAGCAAGCAAGGAGUAUGAUGUUAGACUCAGGCAAGAGGAAGAGAGGAGGCAAAGAAAGGCAGCUCUUGGUGGACGAGGAGCUGAAUGUUCCAAUCCAGGAAAUGAAAAUCAUGUAACCAGUCGUGCUGUCAAUGGUGCUGCUGAAUCGAAGGAACACGCGCAUGCCAGUUCAAAGAGCAGCAGCGUGAAGUUCUACCCCGAGGAUAGCGUGCCCGGUUUCCGGGUGGAGCCACGCCCGUCGCCAACCACGGUGCAGGUUCCUGGAUUUGGCUCUACAUGGAACAUGGGAGGUUACACAGAUCAUCCAACGACGCCUGGUUGUGCCUGCAGUUCUGUUCAUGUCGCAAAUUCCUCUGCCUCGAGGACAAAGGCAUCAUCGCAUUCACAUAUACCACAGUUUUGCACGACAGAUCUGAGGAAUGCAGUUGAGGUUACAUAUCAGAAUCAGCCACCUGAUAGGCCUGCAUCAUCUCACAACAAGAACCCCCUAGAGAACCAUGGAAGGAAGCUCAGGAGGAUCCACCACUCGGGGCCAUUGGUGCCGCCGGGAGGGAAUAUCGAGGACAUGCUCAAGGAGCACGGGAGGCACAUCCAAGAGGCGGUGCGCAAGGCACGGCUCGGCAAGACGAGCAGGUAG